rnacentral:rRNA from 1 species
GAUGAACGCUGGCGGCGUGCUUAACACAUGCAAGUCGAACGAUGAAGCCCAGCUUGCUGGGUGGAUUAGUGGCGAACGGGUGAGUAACACGUGAGUAACCUGCCCUUAACUCUGGGAUAAGCCUGGGAAACUGGGUCUAAUACCGGAUAGGAGCGUCCACCGCAUGGUGGGUGUUGGAAAGAUUUAUCGGUUUUGGAUGGACUCGCGGCCUAUCAGCUUGUUGGUGAGGUAAUGGCUCACCUAGGCGACGACGGGUAGCCGGCCUGAGAGGGUGACCGGCCACACUGGGACUGAGACACGGCCCAGACUCCUACGGGAGGCAGCAGUGGGGAAUAUUGCACAAUGGGCGCAAGCCUGAUGCAGCGACGCCGCGUGAGGGAUGACGGCCUUCGGGUUGUAAACCUCUUUCAGUAGGGAAGAAGCGAAAGUGACGGUACCUGCAGAAGAAGCACCGGCUAACUACGUG